rnacentral:rRNA from 1 species
GACGAACGCUGGCGGCGUGCUUAACACAUGCAAGUCGAACGGUAAGGCCCUUCGGGGUACACGAGUGGCGAACGGGUGAGUAACACGUGGGUGAUCUGCCCUGCACUUCGGGAUAAGCCUGGGAAACUGGGUCUAAUACCGGAUAGGACCACGGCCUGCCUGGGUGGUGGUGGAAAGCGUUUGCGGUGUGGGAUGGGCCCGCGGCCUAUCAGCUUGUUGGUGGGGUGAUGGCCUACCGAGGCGACGACGGGUAGCCGGCCUGAGAGGGUGACCGGCCACACUGGGACUGAGAUACGGCCCAGACUCCUACGGGAGGCAGCAGUGGGGAAUAUUGCACAAUGGGCGCAAGCCUGAUGCAGCGACGCCGCGUGAGGGAUGACGGCCUUCGGGUUGUAAACCUCUUUCAGCACCGACGAAGCGCAAGUGACGGUAGGUGCAGAAGAAGGACCGGCCAACUACGUGCCAGCAGCCGCGGUAA